UUUCCCAAAAAAUCAGUUGCUGCAAAUAUUUAGGAAACCAGCUUUAGGAAAUAGAUAUUCACUUACCUUUACAUUACUUUAAAAUUAGGUUGAAGCACGUUCAGACGGCGUAAAAAUGCUUCUCCUUCCACAAUGUAGGAAGGUAAUAAUUGCAAACAAACAACGCUAAAGCCUGCACUAUUUUGUUGUAUUUUAAACCUCCCUCCACAAUAGAUAUAUCUAUUAUAUUCGAUAAAGAAAACGUACUAGAAAUAAUUUAUUUUCCUUAUUGGCCGAAACUUGCAAAACUGCGUCUUCUAAAGUACUUUCUGGAGGUAUGUUACUAUCCGUACUAGCAUCAAAAAAACUUUUUCCUUCCAACAUAUUUUCUAAUUUAGAACAGCUAGAUGUUGAUGGCUGUGACAUGUGCUCAUUCCAACUCAAGUUCUUAAAUAGACUUCAUAAAAUAUCCUAUAUCUUCAUAAAUAUAUGUUCUGUGGGCAGUGUUUACACUUUUGAUAAUUCGAUUCGGUACCAAGUAUUUCGGUAUCGAAAUCAAAAGAAUGGAAUACCUACUUGUAUUUACUCGUAUCGAAUAAUCACUAUCUAAGAGGCGGUACUUCACGUAAGGGUGUCAUAACGCAUAUUGAUCUAAUUGAUCUAGUUGUUAUAUGGUACCAUAUUACAGUCAGGCUGGGUCAGUAAGGGUGACAUAACUCACGUUUAAUGACGUUUUUAUCAAUUUUCACUAUUUUUAAGUUCAGUUAAGGCGAUUGACAAUAGUCUUGGUUGUGACAGUGUUUACAGUUUUGAUAAUUUGAUUAUUUUCGACGAUGCGAUACUUCAAUUCGAUACGAGCACUUUAUUUCGAUACCAAGUAUUGGUAUCGAAAGAACGAUUUAAUUACCAAAGUACUCGGUAUCGAAGCAAAAGUAUCGAAUACCUACUUGUAUUUACUUGUAUCGAAUCAUCCCUAUCUGUUACUGAGCAUUAUUUGACUUUGAAUUUAAAUAAAAAAACCCUAAUAAAUAAAACACUGCAACAAAAUUAACGAUAAUUUGAACAUUUAAAGCGAGUUCCAGUAAAAUAUGAAAGCGGAUUUAUCGCUAAAGUAAAAAAGCAGUGCAUGCUGCUCAUCAGUACAGUGCAAGCUUUCGUGCAAACCACCUCUGAAGAUGCAAGCCACUCGUGCAAAAUCCCAAUUCGGGGCCCAAUUCUCGGGCCCCGGGCCCAAUUCUCGAAACUGGGAACGGCGAUCACAUGAGAAAGAAGGGCGUGGUUCUCUCGUGAAGCAAAUAUUGGUAUUCUUCAACGCGAUCGAGUGAUCCCAUCAGGCAACGGCAGUAGAACAAGCUUCUCUUGCCAAAUCUCGCGGGAACGCAUCGUUCACCGGUUUUAUAACCACACACUACAUGCUGUGCUCUGAUUUCGGUUCUAACUCGAAAUAAUGAAUUUCAUAAAUAAAACUUUACAGUGUUCAUAAAAUAAGGAGCAAUUUAAGAGAUUUUCUAACAGAGAGUAGAGCGGGUUUGUAUGGAAUUGUUCUCAACAAUCUUCAAGAUGCAGAAAAACAAGAAGAAAAUCCUCCACGGCAAUUUCAACAACCCAUGAACGCUAUGGAAAUAAAUGAAAUCAAGUUUGUCAAGCUUUUUAGGCUGAAUAAGCAGCUGGUGCUCCAAUUGAUAGAAAAGUUGACGCCCUAUCUUCAAGCAAUAUAGAAAUAUAUCUGAAAACAAUAUAGAAAUAGUAAUUGAGAAACCAGUUCAACAAUAAAUAGAUUUAAUUGAUCAUUAUAAGAAUAAAUGAAUGAAUACAGACAAA